rnacentral:rRNA from 1 species
GACGAACGCUGGCGGCGUGCUUAACACAUGCAAGUCGAACGGAAAGGCCCUGCUUUUGUGGGGUGCUCGAGUGGCGAACGGGUGAGUAACACGUGAGUAACCUGCCCUUGACUUUGGGAUAACUUCAGGAAACUGGGGCUAAUACCGGAUAGGAGCUCCUGCUGCAUGGUGGGGGUUGGAAAGUUUCGGCGGUUGGGGAUGGACUCGCGGCUUAUCUGCUUGUUGGUGGGGUAGUGGCUUACCAAGGGUUUGACGGGUAGCCGGCCUGAGAGGGUGACCGGCGACAUUGGGACUGAGAUACGGCCAAGACUGCAACGGGAGGCAGCAGUGGGGAAUAUUGCACAAUGGGCGGAAGCCUGAUGCAGAAACGCCGCGUGCGGGAUGACGGCCUUCGGGUUGUAAACCGCUUUCGCCUGUGACGAAGCGUGAGUGACGGUAAUGGGUAAAGAAGCACCGGCUAACUACGUG